ACGACAGGUGCUGCAUGGCUGUCGUCAGCUCGUGUCGUGAGAUGUUGGGUUAAGUCCCGCAACGAGCGCAACCCUCGCCCUUUAGUUGCCAGCAUUCAGUUGGGCACUCUAGGGGGACUGCCGGUGAUAAGCCGCGAGGAAGGUGGGGAUGACGUCAAGUCCUCAUGGCCCUUACAGGCUGGGCUACACACGUGCUACAAUGGCGGUGACAAUGGGCGGCGACCUUGCGAGAGGAAGCUAAUCCCAAAAAGCCGUCUCAGUUCGGAUUGCACUCUGCAACUCGAGUGCAUGAAGUCGGAAUCGCUAGUAAUCGCGCAACAGCAUGGCGCGGUGAAUACGUUCCCGGGCCUU
rnacentral:rRNA from 1 species